rnacentral:rRNA from 1 species
AUUGAACGCUGGCGGCAGGCUUAACACAUGCAAGUCGAGCGAGCGGCGGACGGGUGAGUAAUGUCUGGGAAACUGCCUGAUGGAGGGGGAUAACUACUGGAAACGGUAGCUAAUACCGCAUACCAUCAGAUGUGCCCAGAUGGGAUUAGCUAGUAGGUGGGGUAAUCGCUCACCUAGGCGACGAUCCCUAGCUGGUCUGAGAGGAUGACCAGCCACAGUGGAACCGAGACACGGUCCAGACGCCUACGGGAGGCAGCAGUGGGGAAGAUGGCAUAAUGGGCGCAAUCCUGAUGCAGCCAGGCCGCGUGUGUGGAGGAGGCCUUCGGGUUGUAAAGCACUUUCAGCUGAGAGGCGUUACUCGCAGGUGAAGCACCGGCUAACUCCGUGCCAGCAGACGCGGUAAGAC